ACCAGCAGCGAUAGCACGUUGUCUGCAUCAGUUUUUUAAUGAAUCACUGAAUUCAAGCAACGUUUCGCAUGGUUGGUAUUCGGAUGGGUGACCAUUUGGCCAAUCGCGUGCUGCUUUUU
rnacentral:rRNA from 1 species